GCUGGAUAUUAGUAGAUCACAUGAUGAAGCAUCCAUGGGCAUUCUCUUCACUAAAAUAAUCCAGUGAAUAGAAACUUUCAAGACCCAAACCUGUAAAGGAAAGAAGGGGAUGAGCUGAGAGAUUCCUGAGGAGAAGAACGACUAAAAGAAAGUUAAAAACUUGCUUAGGAAGAGAAGGCAUUUUACCUGUGCUCUGAGUCGUUGUGAGGCUGCUUCAGAACAUACUACAGCCAUUGGAGAGAAAGUCCCAGUUCAGAAAGAGAUGAAUCACCAAAAACCUUCUGGUUCAGAAAGAGAGAUUGAAAGUGAAACUAUAAAGUCGACAAGCCAUCAGUCCAUGGCAUUGUUAUAUACAUAAUAUUGAAGAAGAGA